rnacentral:rRNA from 1 species
GAUGAACGCUGGCGGCGCGCCUAAUACAUGCAAGUCGAGCGAACGGACGAGAAGCUUGCUUUUCUGAUGUUAGCGGCGGACGGGUGAGUAACACGUUGAUAACCUACCUAUAAGACUGGGAUAACUUCGGGAAACCGGAGCUAAUACCGGAUAAUAUUUUGAACCGCAUGGUUCAAAAGUGAAAGACGGUCUUGCUGUCACUUAUAGAUGGAUCCGCGCUGCAUUAGCUAGUUGGUAAGGUAACGGCUUACCAAGGCAACGAUGCAUAGCCGACCUGAGAGGGUGAUCGGCCACACUGGAACUGAGACACGGUCCAGACUCCUACGGGAGGCAGCAGUAGGGAAUCUUCCGCAAUGGGCGAAAGCCUGACGGAGCAACGCCGCGUGAGUGAUGAAGGUCUUCGGAUCGUAAAACUCUGUUAUUAGGGAAGAACAUAUGUGUAAGUAACUGUGCACAUCUUGACGGUACCUAAUCAGAAAGCCACGGCUAACUACGUG